GUCCUAGUCCUACGGGAUGCUGCAGGCGCGAAAACUCUGCAAUGCGCGCAAGCGUGACAGGGGAACUCUGAGUGUUAGAGGACUUAGUCCUCUAUCUUUUGACAACCCUAAAUCGGUUGUAGAAUAAGGUCUGGGCAAGACUAGUGCCAGCCGCCAUGGUAGAUGCUAAAUGCACCCUACCCACGGUAAGCGGUAAUACUAGCAGAACAAGUGGUAUCCACGAAUAUUGGGUCUAAAGGGUCCGUAGCUGGCCUGUUAAGUUUUCUGUGAAAUCUUGGAGCUCAACUUCAAGGCGUGCAGGAAAUACUGGCAGGCUUGAGAGUGGGGGAGGUUAGGGGUACUCACGGGGUAAGAGUAAAAUCUUGUAAUCCUGUGAGGACUUCCAGUGGCGUAGGCGCCUAACCAAAACACGUCUGACAGUGAGGGACGAAGGCUAGGAGAACGAAUCGGAUUAGAUACCCGAGUAGCCCUAGCAGUAAAUUAUGCAGACUGUGGUGUUGCGGUUGCUUCGAGCAACUGCAGUGCUGUAGCGUAGGUGUUAAGUCUGCCACCUGGGGAGUACG
rnacentral:rRNA from 1 species